GUUGGGUACUGUGCGCGCGCACAUAUGCGCACAAUAGCCGCGGGACGUGUGCACAACACGCACGUCCCUUCCGCACGCAUGCACACACAGGAUGUGCGAACAGCGCAGACGUCCCCUCUAGACGCACGCAUAAACGGGACGUGCGCACAGUGUGCACUUCCCUUUUGCACACAUGACGCAAGGUCAAGACCUACGUGAAUCCUGUCACGCGCAGGCGAGCCAUCAAUGCAUCACCUUGCACGCGGACAGGCCCUCUGUGCCUAGGGCCUGCGUGCAGUAGGCUUGGGCGCGUGGCGCCCAGCGUGCGCAAGCGCUGUGGGCAUGCAGGCUAGCCCCUGUACGUAUGGUAAGAGGCCUGUGUGCCUGCAGUGCGCUGGCUAGGGCACUACCACCUCGGGCAGUGCACUACCACUACCUUGGGCGGCACGCUGCCACUACCACCAUCGGUGGAGGAGGCCUUCCUCCCGUAUUUUUCAUGCUGAGCAUCUUUUUCUCCUCUCCCUUCACCAGAGUUUACCACUUGUCGUGAAUUUAAUGAUCCCAAAACUCUAUAAAUUUUCCUCCCCCUUCCCUUUCUCUCCAUACUUCCAUUCUUCUAUUUUUCAAAGGUUUAGAGCGAGAGAGAGAGAGAAAGAGAGAUAGUAGUCUAGUGAGAGAAUAAGAGAAAGAAAG
rnacentral:lncRNA from 1 species